rnacentral:rRNA from 1 species
GACGAACCGUACAAACGUUAUUCGGAAUCACUGGGCUUAAAGGGUGCGUAGGCGGUGCAGAAAGUAGGGUGUGAAAUCCCUCGGCUCAACCGAGGAACUGCGCUCUAAACUACUGUGCUAGAGGGAGAUAGAGGUGAGCGGAACUUAGGGUGGAGCGGUGAAAUGCGUUGAUAUCCUAAGGAACACCGGUGGCGAAAGCGGCUCACUGGAUCUCUUCUGACGCUGAGGCACGAAAGCUAGGGUAGCAAACGGGG